GUCUCUACAAAAAAUUUAAAAAUUAGUGGGGUGUGGUGAUGCAUGUGUAGUCCCAGCUACUCCGGAGGCUGAGGUGGGAGGAUCGCUUGAUCCCAGGUGUCUGAGACAGUAGUGAGCUACGAUUGCACCACUGCACUACAACCUCGGUGAUGCAAUGAGACGCUGUCUCAAAAAAAAAAAACCACACACACACAAAACAACAAAAAAACAAAUUGUUCAAGGCGAGCCUGGUGUGCCAAGCCCUUGUUCUGGGCACUUGGCUUAUAUUAUCUCCCUUAAUCCUUCCCACCACCCCAAGUGCUAGAUACUGGGAUUAAUUUAGUUGAGCUGUAAUACAUCAAUACUGUGUGAAAUGCUAUGCAACAUCUAAAAGGAAGACAGGUGGAGCUUUUAUUUAUUUUUUAUUUUAUUUAUUUUUUGAGACGCAGUCUCGCUGCAUUACCCAACCUGGAGUGCAGUGGCACAAUCACAGCUCACUGUAGCCUCAACCUCCUGGGUUCAAACAAUCCUCCCACCUCAGCCUCUCAAGUAGCUGGGACUACAGGCUUACACCACCAAGCUUGGCUAAUUUUUUUUUUUUUUUUUUUUAGAGAUGGUGUUUUGCUAAGUUGUCCACACUGAUCUCAAAAUCCUUUUGUUUUUGCUUUGGAAUGGUCUGGAACUCCUGAGCUCAAGUGAUCCUCCCACCUUGGCCUCCCAAAGGCCUGGGAUUACACGUAUGAGCCACCGCACCAAGCCCAUGUUGAGCUUUUAAGGUAUUAAAGAUCCACUAGGUGAAAAAAAAGAGUGAAAGAUACAUAUGCCAUUUAAGGGAAGCACAGGAAAACUCCUAUUUUGUUUAUAUGUGAAUAGAGGCACAUAGAUGCCUAGAAAAGUGUCUGGGAGGGAAUGAAACCAGAUUGGCCACAAAAAUCACCUCUGGAAAAAGGAAAAGAAUGGGGACUUUCACUUUUUGCUUCAUAUGUUUCAUGUACCUUUUUUUUUUUUUUUUUGAGAUGGAGUUUCACUCUUAUUGCCCAGGCUGGGGUGCAGUGGUGCGAUCUCAGCUCACUGCAACCUCUGCCUCCUAGGUUCAAGCGAUUCUCCUGCCUCAGCCUCCCAAGUAGCUGGGAUUACAGGCAUGCGCCACCACGCCCGGCUAAUUUUUUGUGUUUUUAGUAGAGACGAGGUUUCUCCAUGUUGGUCAGGCUGGUCUCGAACUCCUGACAUCAGGUGAUCUACCCACUUUGGCCUCCCAAAGUGCUGGGAUUACAGGCGUGAGCCACCGCGCCCAGCUGCUUUUUCUUUUUAAAAAGUAAAAUAUAACAGAGAAAACUGCACAAAACAGAAGUGUUCAAAUUAAAUUUUUUUUUUUUUGAGACAGGGUCUUGCCCUGUUGCCCAGGCUGGAGUGCAGUGGCUCAUUCAUAGCUCACUGCAGCCUCAAACUCCUGGGUUCAAGCGAUCCUCCCACCCCAGCCUCCUGAGUGGCUGGAAGGCCAAGGGAGGAUCGCUUGAGCCCAGGAGUUUGAGGCUGUGCCACCACACGCAGCUGGUUUUUUUUUUUUUUUUUAAUUUUUUGUAGAGACAGGGUCUCGCUAUGUCACCCACGCUGGUCUCAAACUCACGGGCUCAAGCAAUCCUCCCAUCUUUGGCCUCCCAAAGUACUGAGACUACAAACAUGAGCCAUCUUGCCCAGCCCCUAGAACGUGUUAUCAAAUAAACACCGAUGCAACCCUCACUCAGCUGAGAAGUAAAACAUUGCCAGCCAAUCCCUAAAUGCUUCUGCUUGCCGCUUCCCAAUCCUAACCAAUGCCUUCUCCUGACAAUUAUGAUGGUCAUGUCUUUGCAUUUCUCUAAUGUUUCCCAUCACGAUCAAACUAGUUUUGUUUUGCCUGUGUCCAAACUUUGCAUAAAUGAGCAGCAUGUGUCUGGUGGACCUGGCUUCUUCCACUCAACAUUAUGAUAAGAAGAUUGACCAUUUGGUGCCCAUAGCUAUUGCUCUUGCAUUUUCAUUGCUCUAUAGAUUCUUACUCAACAUACCUUAAAAAUUUUUUUAUUCUGAAAUAAGAGCGGGAUGCUAUUAAAAAAAGAAAAAAGAAGAGAACAAAAAAGUCCUCCAGUAAAUUUAAAAUAUGGUAGUCAAGGCCGGGCACGGUGGAUGAAUUAAAAAUUGUCUAACAUGCUGGGCGCAGUGGCUCACGCCUGUAAUCCCAGCACUUUGGGAUGAUGAGGCAGGUGGAUCACAAGGUCAAGAGAUCAAGACCAUCCUGGCUAACACGGUGAAAACCCGUCUCUACUAAAAAUACAAAAAAGUUAGCCGGGCGUGGUGGCGGGCACCUGUAGUCCCAGCUGCUCGGGAGGCUGAGGCAGGAGUUGCUGGGCACUGGACACAAGGAUUUCUAUCAGUG
rnacentral:lncRNA from 10 species